CUUCACCGACCCCAACCACAACGGGCUCUCCACCGACCGGCCCUGCCCAUACGUGGCCAACAGAGCCUGCGCCUC
rnacentral:antisense_RNA from 1 species